rnacentral:lncRNA from 1 species
UAUCUCUACACUUCAUCUCCUCAAUCUCUCUCAUCUCUAACCCUACACCCACCGCCCUGAAUUUCUUCACCAUCUCCAACCGGCAGUGGAGCUCAAACUACUACCAAAAUCUAAUCACAUAACCACCACUCAUCCCUGAGUCCCAAUCCACCACCACAUAUCCUCAAAUCCCUACCAAAUCGGGUCAGAUUCAAAUCUAAAAGAAGAAGAAGAAAAAGAAAAUCUCCCCAAGUUCUCAAGUUAAUGAUUAGGUCUAAAAUCGGUAUUGAUCGUCUGUUCUCAACGAGAACACGUGACUGAUGCCAAUUUCGAGUCAAAUUGAAGUCGCCUGAGGUUUGCCAAGCCUUGUCCAUGUGACCAUUUAGGUAUUUCUGUUCUUUUCUCCAUCUUCUCCAUCUUUUGUUUUGUUCUCGUCCUCGUCUCCUUCUGAUUCUUCUCUUUUCGUUCUUGUUUUACUACUUUAAAGUUGUUCUGAUUGCAUGAAUAGGAUCGAGUCAUUUCAGUGUAUAAUAUUUAGAUUAAGCUCUCUGAUUAAUAUUUGCUAGUUUUCUUUUAAUUUUUUUCCUUUUAUUAGUUCUGCUUCGUGUAAAGGUUUUGUGUCUAGAAUUCAGAAAUGGAAUCAUUUUGGUUUUCUUGGUUUGAUUGAAAAUUCAUUGUCCUAAAACUGAACUUGGGCUCGCUAAAUGCAAGAAGCCCAAAGAGUUGUUGAAGCUCGUUGUUACAGGGGGGCCAAAGGCAUUUGGGCAAUUUGGUUCAAAGUUUUAGUGUGAAAGUAAUUAGUGAGUCUUUUAGGUUUAUUUGGGAAAAUUUCAUAAGGGGAAUCUGAUCUAACUAACUAGGAAGUUUCCAAGAAAUUGGGGAAGGGACUGACUUAACAAAACAGAUUUUAAAUUGGGGGGCUGAAGGGAAUUAAUAAAAAUUGGGGAAGGGGUAAUUGAUAAAUUAGCAAAAUCAUUUCUGCUGCCCUAAAGCCAUCUAUAUAAGGUUUGCCUUCAGUAGAAUUAGGGGGAUUGGAACCUAAAAGUUCAGAAACGGCUGAAGAAAUACACGUUGAGAGAGACUGAAAUCAAAAAGAAAAAUACAAAAAAGGGUCACAGUUAUUGUUCCAUUGCAAUUGGUGUUUUCAUUUUUCUUGGACUUUAGAAGCUAGAUUGAAAUUGCUCCUUCUUCUUAGUCACGUGUGAUUGAAACUGUUUGAUUGUUGUUGUUUGCUGCUGUUUUAGAGCCUUGCUGACACUUCUAUUUUUUUUGUUGAAACUUGUGGUUGUUUGUUGUUUUCAGGUAUGUACAUGAGAUGAAGUAACAAGAACAGAUUUGUGACCUGUUGACAUAGAAUGGAAUUAUUUUCUUCACUAGAUUAAAUGUUUCUUUUCUAUUGAUAGUCAACACUGUAAAUAUGAUACUGUUUCAGCUUAGAUUUAGCACAGUUAACAUGAUCUAGUGUAGGUGUUUGGUUUAAGCAUUUGAGUCAUACUAGCUUAUUCGGGUGUUUAAUAUUUAACUACUAUUGAUUGUAACUAUUUGGGAUUGCUUUCUCAAGAGAUUGUUGGAUGUGGACUCAUGAGGUGGUACUGUUGAACGUAUUAAUAGGUUUAGCUACUAUUGAACAUGUUAGUGGUCUGAAUUUGUCUGUCCUUUAUAAAUUGUGCAGAUGGUUAAAUUGUAGUUGAUAGUGUUGUUCCUUUCAUAUGUGAAAUUGCUCUGUUGAAACCAGGUUGAGAUUGAUCAUUGAACCUGCAUAAUUUGGUUUGUUUUAGUUAUGCAUUCCUAUAGUAUUCUGUUUGUAUGAGGUUUUGGUACAUUUAAUAAAGAAUUUCAAAUUCAGC